UACGUAGGGUGCGAGCGUUGUCCGGAAUUAUUGGGCGUAAAGAGCUCGUAGGCGGUGUGUCGCGUCGGCCGUGAAAACCUGCAGCUUAACUGUGGGCUUGCGGUCGAUACGGGCAUCACUGGAGUUCGGCAGGGGAGACUGGAAUUCCUGGUGUAGCGGUGAAAUGCGCAGAUAUCAGGAGGAACACCGGUGGCGAAGGCGGGUCUCUGGGCCGAUACUGACGCUGAGGAGCGAAAGCGUGGGGAGCGAACAG
rnacentral:rRNA from 1 species